rnacentral:rRNA from 1 species
CCUGGGAACUGGGUCUAAUACUGGAUACGACAUGUCACCGCAUGGUGGUGUGUGGAAAGGGUUUUACUGGUUUUGGAUGGGCUCACGGCCUAUCAGCUUGUUGGUGGGGUAAUGGCUCACCAAGGCGACGACGGGUAGCCGGCCUGAGAGGGUGACCGGCCACACUGGGACUGAGACACGGCCCAGACUCCUACGGGAGGCAGCAGUGGGGAAUAUUGCACAAUGGGCGGAAGCCUGAUGCAGCGACGCCGCGUGAGGGAUGACGGCCUUCGGGUUGUAAACCUCUUUCAGCACGGAAGAAGCGAAAGUGACGGUACGUGCAGAAGAAGCGCCGGCUAACUACGUGCCAGCAGCC